UCCUCGUUAGUAUAGUGGUCAGUAUCCCCGCCUGUCACGCGAGACCGGGGUUCAAUUCCCGACGGGGAG
rnacentral:tRNA from 1 species